GGAAACACCCCCUUUUCUAUAGAAUUCCAUCUUUAUCCAUCUGUAGCCUAAUUUGUGUUAAUCACAAGGUCAAGUACAAUAUGAUGACCUUCAAGUUUAGUGUCUCACACUUAUUGUAUAAUCAAUAUACGAGUUGAGUAUGCUUUCUUGGUGCUUUCAAUCAUAUUGACACGCUAACUCCUUCUCUGGAGGUGGGCGGUAUGCCUCUAGACAAGGCACCGACCACCGCAGUGUAUAGGCUACUGUGGCUUCAUAGGGGUACUGUGCUGUUACAUUGCUAUUACAUAUUGUAGUUUUGUGUCCAUCACUGGCAUAUGAUUGAUUCAGUUCUGUGACAAAUUAACCAAGAACCUGGAACCUCUGGACCCAUACAUUUCCUUGCAGGUGAUAGAUGUUGACAUCUUGACGUACAGUGCUUCCGGGAAGUAUUCAGACUACAUUCUGUUACCUUACAAUCGUAUUAUUUUUUUUUUGUUGUUGAAUAUUCCAUAAUCUACAUACAAUAUCCCAUAAUGACAAAGUGAAAACAGUUUAUUUUUUAUUUUUUCUAUUUUAGCAAAUGUAUUACAAAUAAUAAACAGAAAUACAUAAUAAAAAUAAUAAACAGAAAUCCUUGAUUUACAUAAGUAUUCAGACCUUUUGCUAUGUUACUCGAAAUUGAGCUCAGGUGCAUCCGGUUUCCAUUGAUCAUCCUUGAGAUGUUUCUACAACUUGAUUGGGGUUCAACUGUGGUAAAUUAAAUUGAUUGGACAUGAUUUGGAAAGGCACACACCUGUCUAUAUAAGGUCCCACAGUUGACAGUGCAUGUCAGAGCAAAAACCAAGCCAUGAGGUCGAAGGAAUUGUCCGUAGAGCGCCGAGACAGGAUUGUGUCGAGGCACAGAUCUGGGGAGGGUACCAAAACAUUUCUGCAGCAUUGAAGGUCCCCAAAAACACAGUGGCCUCCAUCAUUCUUAAAUGGAAGAAGUUUGGAACCACCAAGACUCUUCCUAGAGCUGGCCACCCGGCUAAACGGAGCAAUCGGGGAGAAGAGCCUUGGUCAGGGAGGUGACCAAGAACCCAAUGGUCACUCUGACAGAGCUCUAGAGUUCCUCUGUGGAGAUGGGAUAAACUUCCAGAAGGACAACCAUUUAUGGUAGUGGCCAGAAGGAAGCCACUUCUCAGUAAAAAGCACAUGACAGCCCUCUUGGAGUUUGCCAAAAGGCACCUAAAGAUUCUCAUUCCAUAAGAAACAAGAUUCUCUGGUCUGAUGAAACCAAGCUUGAACUCUUUGGCCUAAAUGCCAAGCAUCAUUCACGUCUAGAGGAAAAAUGGCAACAUCCCUACGGUGAAACGUGGUGGUGGCUGCAUCAUGCUGUGGGGAUGUUUGUCAGCGGCAGAGACUGGGAGACUAGUCAGGAUAGGGGCAAAGAUGAACAGAGCGAAGUCCAGAGAGAUCCUUGAUGAAAACCUGCUCCAGAGUGGUCAGGACCUCAGACUGGGGAGAAGGUUCACCUUCCAACAGGACAACGACCCACACAGCCAAAACAAUGCAGGAGUGGCUUCGGGACAAGUCUCUAAAUGUUCUUGAGUGGCCCAGCCAGAGCCCGGACAUGAACUUGAUCAAACAUCUCUGGAGAGACCUGAAAAUAGCUGUGCAGCGACGCUCCCCAUCCAACCUGAUAGAGCUUGAGAGGAUCUGCAGAGAAGAAUGAGAGAAAGUCCCCAAAUACAGGUGUGCCAAGCUUGCAGCGUCGUACCCAACAAGACUCAACUUGUAAGUCGCUCUGGAUAAGAGCGUCUGCUAAAUGACUUAAAUGUAAUGUAAAUGUAAGACUCGAGGCUGUAAUCGCUGCCAAAGAUGCUUCAACAAAGUACUGAAUAAAGGGUCUGAAUAGUGAUGUAAAUGUGAUGUGUCUGAUUUUUUUUUUAAACAUUUGCAAAAAUGUCUAAAAACCUAUUUUACUUUGUCAUUAUGGGGUAUUGUGUGUAGAUUGACAAAGGAAAAAAAACGAUUUAAUCAAUUUUAGAAUAAGGCUGUAAUGUAACAAAACGUGGAAAAAUAUCAAGGGGUGUGAAUACCUUCCGAAGGCACUGUGUAUGAUGCACUGAAAAGCUCAAUCGCGGUCGUUAGCGUAGCACGCCAAAUGUGCAUUUGAAUAGACCAACUUUUCCCUACUAAAAAAUAUUGCAGUCAGAGUGCAGUAUAACUGCAGCAUGCUGAAAAUACUGCAUCCAAACUAACACCGUUUUUUUUACUGCAGUAAUUUUUCAGUGUUACUGUCAGUUAAAGUGCAGUAUACCACAAAUACCACAUUUCACUGCAGUUACUGCAGUUGUUAAACUGCAAAAAAAAAUGGAAGGGUUGUAGAGUUCUGUUUGAAUGAAACUUUAAAUAUAGCGAUAUUCCAUAUAUUCCAUUAUUUUUUUGUUGUUGUUGAAUAUUCCAUAAUCUACAUACAAUAUCCCAUAAUGACAAAGUGAAAACAGUUUAUUUUUUAUUUUUUCUAUUUUAGCAAAUGUAUUACAAAUAAUAAACAGAAAUACAUAAUAAAAAUAAUAAACAGAAAUCCUUGAUUUACAUAAGUAUUCAGACCUUUUGCUAUGUUACUCGAAAUUGAGCUCAGGUGCAUCCGGUUUCCAUUGAUCAUCCUUGAGAUGUUUCUACAACUUGAUUGGAGUUCAACUGUGGUAAAUUAAAUUGAUUGGACAUGAUUUGGAAAGGCACACACCUGUCUAUAUAAGGUCCCACAGUUGACAGUGCAUGUCAGAGCAAAAACCAAGCCAUGAGGUCGAAGGAAUUGUCCGUAGAGCGCCGAGACAGGAUUGUGUCGAGGCACAGAUCUGGGGAGGGUACCAAAACAUUUCUGCAGCAUUGAAGGUCCCCAAAAACACAGUGGCCUCCAUCAUUCUUAAAUGGAAGAAGUUUGGAACCACCAAGACUCUUCCAAAUGUUGUAUGGGGGUAACACAUUUAAUUAGCACAUUUUUUUCAGAAAAAGCUUGUUAUUUUGUACUUUGCAGCCACUUGCCUUUAUCUUAUAAGAUUUAGGGAUAUCAAUGAAGAAAAAUAAACUAGACUUCUCAAGUCCCUAUAUUUUGUACCAGUUAACUUGACCAGAGGAAACAAGUCAUCUUGCUGACGUUGAUUUGCAUCAUUGAACGGCAGGUAUCCUAGUGGUUAGAGCGUUGUUAGAGCGUUGUUGCUCGAUCCAAUCCCCGAGCUGACAAGGUAAAAAUCUGUCGUUCUGCCCCUGAACAAGGCAGCUAACCCACUGUUGUCCGGUAGGCUGUCAUUGUAAAUACGAGUUUGUUCUUAAAAAUACAUUGGACACGUUUCUACAUUAAUAUAAAUUUUUUCAUUCAAGAAGAGAAAAUCAAUUGGCACAAAACAGAAAGACACACCUAUUGACAGACUAAGAUAAUCAUAACAGUCAUCGGAGAAUUAAAAAAAAUAUAUAUUUGAUUUUUGUGUGUAAUUGUUGUAUAUUUUAUGCUGACUUCCUAAUUGCACGGCAUUUCCGUAUUGUCUUAACCAACGUGCUAUAAUGACUAAUAUUAGGCCUAAUGUAAAUGAAUAACAAGACUGGUUUAAAUAAUUCAAACGUAAUGACACGUUUAUAUAUUUUGGCCAGGGUACUAGGCUACAUGUAUGUUAACAAUUAACCUUCAAUAAUGAUUUGCACGCUGAUGUAAUAGAAGUUGAAAGGUGUUGCUGAAAUUGUGGGUAAAUUUCAUCGACGCUUAUCCCACUAAUAGGCCUAGUCGAAUAACAGAUUAUAUUUUGUGUGUAUAAACGUAUUUUAAUUCCAAAAGUUUCACAAAGAACAUCUCACUAAACUCGGUGUUAGUCUUGUGUAAGAAAAUAUGGUGCAUUUUAUGUUGGAUAAUAUAUCGACUGCAAGGGUGCAAACAACGUGUGAGGUGGAGGACACAGAGUGUGAGUGCGAGCGUGCAUGAGUGAUAUAGUAUGUGUGAGCGAGGAAGUGAGAGGGGGAGGCAUGCGUACUUCGUUUGAUAUAUCGUCGGGGACACGCGAGAUAAUGCCAAAUCUAAUCCCGGGGUCUUGACGCCCAUAACGCCUAGGGGAAAAAGGCACACGGACCUUUUCAAAUUGUAUAAUGUGAAGUGAAUUGAUCGAUAUUCAAGUAUGGUGUUGUCAAAUGUAUGUGAUGUUUUGUUGUUUAUACAUGCAGCACUGAAACCCCCCUUGAGACCAAAAGACUGGCGAGUUAUUAUCAGUUGAUGAUACAUCAGUAAAUGACCUGGAUUUUUUCAAUAGAUUACCGUUUGAUGCAUCAAUGGGGACAAAUUAUGCAGAAAAACACACGCUGUAUAUAUAACUCGUUCGGAUAAAAACUAAAUGUAUGUCUCAUGCCUUUUUCAGAUAGUCUAUACAUGGCAUACUCAGCCAUAGGUCAAGUACAGUACAUUUUAGCUCAACCCUAAGCCUCAACAUAACUCUCACUUCUCCCUUUUGUCAUUUUCCUCAUUUCUCUCCAGUCCCCUUCCCUCAAUGACCACCUACACCACAUUUCCCUAAUGCCUCUUCUCCUCCCCUUCUGUCUCUCUCCUCUUUCUCUACCUCUACCUCUAAAUCUACCUCUCUGUAACCUGUUCCCUCUCUACCUCUACCUCUCUGUAACCUGUUCUCUCUCUCUACCUCUACCUCUCUGUAACCUGUUCUCCCUCUCUCUCUCUCUCUCUCUCUCUCUCUCUCUCUCUCUCUCUCUCUCUCUCUCUACCUCUACCUCUACCUCUCUGUAACCUGUUCUCUCUCUCUCUCUCUCUCUCUCUCUCUCUCUCUCUCUCUCUCUCUCUCUGUCUCUCUCUCUCUCUCUACCUCUACCUCUCUGUAACCUGUUCUCUCUCUCUCUCUCUCUCUCUCUCUCUC